AACACGUGGGCAAUCUGCCCUGCACUCUGGGACAAGCCCUGGAAACGGGGUCUAAUACCGGAUACUGAUCCUCUUAGGCAUCUUGGAUGAUCGAAAGCUCCGGCGGUGCAGGAUGAGCCCGCGGCCUAUCAGCUUGUUGGUGAGGUAAUGGCUCACCAAGGCGACGACGGGUAGCCGGCCUGAGAGGGCGACCGGCCACACUGGGACUGAGACACGGCCCAGACUCCUACGGGAGGCAGCAGUGGGGAAUAUUGCACAAUGGGCGAAAGCCUGAUGCAGCGACGCCGCGUGAGGGAUGACGGCCUUCGGGUUGUAAACCUCUUUCAGCAGGGAAGAAUCGAAAGUGACGGUACCUGCAGAAAAAGCGCCGGCUAACUACGUGCCAGCAACCGCGGUAAUACCUACCGCGCGAGCGUUGUCCGGAAUUAUUGGCCGUAAAAAGCUCGUAAGCCGCUUGUCACGUCGGUUGUG
rnacentral:rRNA from 1 species